rnacentral:rRNA from 1 species
GACGAACGCUGGCGGCGUGCUUAACACAUGCAAGUCGAACGGAAAGGCCCUGCUUUUGUGGGGUGCUCGAGUGGCGAACGGGUGAGUAACACGUGAGUAACCUGCCCUUGACUUUGGGAUAACUUCAGGAAACUGGGGCUAAUACCGGAUAGGAGCUCCUGCUGCAUGGUGGGGGUUGGAAAGUUUCGGCGGUUGGGGUUGGACGCGCGGCUUAUCAGCUUGUUGGGGGGGUAGUGGCUUACCAGGGCUUUGACGGGUAGCCGGCCUGGGAGGGUGACCGGCCACAGAGGCCUACAGAUACGGGCCAGAGGCAAACGGGGGGCAGCAGCGGGGAAUAUAGCACACUGGGCCGAAGCCUGAUGGAAGAACGUCGGGUGCGAGAUGACGGCAUUCGGGUAGUAAACCGAUUUCGCCUGUGACGAAGCGUGAGUGACGGUACUGGGUAAAGAAGCACCGGCUACCUACGU